AAUUCAGCUCAAAUAAAUGAUUAAAGAGGGGGUAUUAUGCUUUUUUCAAUCACAUAGCACCAGUCUAUAGCAUACUACAAUGAUGACGUAACCUUCUGUUGGUCUGUAUAUGCAGUAAAUUAAAAUAACUGCCUUGAAUAAAAUUGCUCUCUCAAAAUGGCUGUACUGAACGUCUUGAAAUAGGCCUCUGUCUCUUUAAGAAGCUUUCCGACACGCCCCCUUCAGCACACUGCUGUGGCAUCUAAACAACACUACUGUGCGGGGAGGGGGCUCUGCUGAGCUGAGGAGCAGUGGUUGGUGGCUUGGCUGGUGACGAAAGGUCCAGAGGCGUCUCCAGGAGGUGGGGGCGUUCCUAGGAGGACUGAGGCAUAGCUACACCUAAAAUGGCUGCCGUCUAAGUUUUUACUGAUUACUCAAAAUAUGUGAAUGAGCCAAGGCAACACUCCAGGCAUGUGUUUAAUGAGGGAAUGACAUAAUAACAUGAUAUAAAGCUUGAAAAAGUCAAUUUUACAUAAUACCCCCCCUUUAAAACAACAUGGUUCUGUUUUAUGUCUCGCCAACACUGCCCUGAGUCCUGCAUGAGCGUGAAUGUUCUUGUUGUCGUAGAUCCACCUGCCGUUCCCGGUGGAGCAGAUCUCCAGCCUGAGCCGCAGUGCGUUCCAGCAGGUCCUGAAGAGGCAGCAGCUGACGCCGGAGCAGCAGGAGUUUGUGCAGGACGUGCGGCGCCGCAGUAAGAACAGGAUGGCGGCUCAGCGCUGCCGCAAGAGGAAACUGGACGGGAUUCAGCAGCUGGAGGUCGACAUCACUGCUCUGAGGAGCCAGAGAGAGCGCCUCCUGCAGGAGAGGACUGAGCUGGAGCGCAGUUUGGAGCAGACCCGUCGGGACGUGUGCGAUCUGUGUCCGAACCCCGGCCUGGACCGCGCCUCAGAGCACUGCCCCUCCACUCAGCUCCCCCGGACCCUCCUUACCCUCCCCGUGUCCGCCGCGCCCACAGAGCACUGCCCCUGCUGGAGAUGGGCGCCGUUUCCUCCACACCAGCAGGAGCGCCGUCGGACUCCGGCCUCCGAGAAGCCUGUCCCAUCUCCGCCUCGCUCUUCAACAGUUUGCACAUGGACUCAUUUUGAGACGCAAACGCUCUAA
rnacentral:lncRNA from 1 species